rnacentral:rRNA from 1 species
UACGUAGGUGGCAAGCGUUGUUCGGAAUUAUUGGGCGUAAAGGGCGCGUAGGCGGUUUGGUAAGUCAGCUGUGAAAGCCCGGGGCUCAACCCCGGAGGGUCGGCUGAUACUGCUAGGCUAGAGUACGGAAGAGGUAGCUGGAAUUCCCGGUGUAGCGGUGAAAUGCGCAGAUAUCAGGAGGAACACCAAUGGCGAAGGCAGCACUCUGGGACGUGACUGACGCUGAGACGCGAAAGCGUGGGGAGCAAACAGG